rnacentral:rRNA from 1 species
AAACGGGAGAGACCCGAAAGGUCGAAAGGGGGAGASUCAAUCUUGUCCGCGCGUCCGGUGCCGCUCUCGGUCCCAAGGAUGUUGCCGGCCGCCGGCCGCGUCGCAAGGCGCGAGCCGGGACGGAGUCGGUGGCACCGGGGCUGGAGGUCCGGCCGCGGCGAGGUGCACUUCUCCCCCCGAGUAGGACGUCGCGACCCGUUGGAUCGAGUCCGGCCUAAGGCCCGGGAUGAGACCGAGGGAACCGCCGCACAGCAGUGCGGACCAACGGUUCCCCGGACCCUGGAUGUCCUGGCCGGCACCCGACGGCAAACCUCGCGGAGAAGGUCCGCUCUCUCGCARAGUGAGCGUCCGGCCCGGUGGGCAAGCUCGACGCAGGUGCAAGUGGUGCCGUGGCUUCCGCCACGUCCCCGGCCCUCGUCGGCUGCUGGUCCCCGGAGUUCUCGGACUGAGACCGACUCCCGUCAGCGGCGCUUCUGCUUCGGGUGCUUUCCCRACCC